GCUCAAUGGUCAAGAGGUUAAGACAUGACUUUUUCGAAGUCAUUACACGGGUUCAAACCCCGUUUGAGCUAU
rnacentral:tRNA from 1 species